rnacentral:tRNA from 1 species
GGAGGAUUACUCAAGUGGCUGAAGAGGACGGUCCUGAAAACCGUUAGGCGGGUCAAACCGCGCGAGGGUUCGAAUCCCUCAUCCUCCU